UUACUUUAUAGGGGAUUGAGUGGUCACUCCUAGGUCGUUCAGGACUUUGAGACUAGUUUCUAGAUUAUGGUUGAGGUUUAUUUCUUAGGUUUAUCCAGGAAUGGAUGAGUAACUAAGGAAGAAAACCCGGGCUAUUAGCUCAGGUGGUUAGAGCGCACCCCUGAUAAGGGUGAGGUCCCUGGUUCGAGUCCAGGAUGGCCCACUUGUGGGGGUUUAGCUCAGUUGGUAGAGCGCCUGCUUUGCAAGCAGGAUGUCAGCGGUUCGAGUCCGCUAACCUCCACCAUUAGAGCAUGGAUUAAAUUCAGCACAUUGUGUAAUGGAAAUAUCCAAGACAUAAUCUGCUGGGUGAGAGCCUAGCUGAGAACCUUGAAAACUGAAUAGAAGAGAAGUGUAAGGUAGUACACACAGAACAUUCAAAGUUCGUUGAGAGAAGAGUGAACUUGAUUGGUCAGUUAACGCUGAUUAAUCAAGAGAAGGUCAAGCUACAACGGGCUCACGGUGGAUACCUA
rnacentral:tRNA from 1 species